rnacentral:ncRNA from 1 species
ACAAAAGCGAUGAAGGGAACUUCGAUGCUGAUUUAGGAUCCAGAAAGCUGCUGGUUGAUGAAAAGCAGAUCCUGUCAGUUUAGAAAAUCAUCCCUGAGCUGCAAUUCGAAAAAUGAUUUUGAUUAGAAUUGGCCGGCAGUGUCCGUUAUCACAUCAGCGUAUCGCUUCGGCCGUACGUUUGAGGCAGCAUCAGCAAUGGUGUUGUAAAUUAAGGUGGUACCGCGUUAAACGCCCUUAAC